rnacentral:lncRNA from 13 species
UCUAACUGGAGCUCUAAGGAACAGACACUGUGACUCCUUUAAUUUGCAGAUCUGAAGGAAAAAUCUGAAUAUUGUGGUUCCUUUUAUUUGAGGAUCUGAAGGAAAGAAAAUGCAAUCAUCAUUAUGAGCUGAAAUUUUGAACACUUUGAUCACCACCACCCCAUUUCUUCUACCCCCAGCUGCUGGCAAUCACGAUUCUACUCUCUGCUUCUGCACACUGAUUACCUCUCCCAGCAUGCUUUGCAGUAAUCAAGUGGUCAUGUGAUAGUUUUGGGCAGAAUGUGAACAAAAUAGGUGUGUGCUGCUUCCAGGACUGAUUCAUAGAAAAUUCCCACAUGGCAACUUCAUUCUACUCUCCUGAUGAACACAGUGACCUGGGAAGCUGUGUAUU